CAUCCACAUAAUCUCAGCAAACAUAGCCUGUAGGAUUGGGCCAAUUAAAAAAAAAAAGAGCAUCCUUUACGUCAACUGUCAUUUUAAUGACAUUGACAGGACAGUAUCCACUCAUUCAUUCGCUGAUUUUGCUCGCUCAUUCAGUCAAUCAUUCAUUCACUCAAUUCUUUUCGAAAUUCCGAGAAAAAAAUCUUGAUUCCGAAAUAUUCGGAAAUAAAAGCAAACAAAUAAUGGUCAUUUUACCGUAUUUACAUUGUUUACCGUAUAAACAAGAUGGUUUCUUAUUAUCACCAAAUGCAUCGUGACUGGUUGCUCGUCCACCAAGUCCAGGGUUUUUUCUCUAGCACGUGAUGAAGCAUUGCAGGCUCUAAGGAUACAGUACCUCCUCCUGCCUGCAAAUCCUUUAUGAGGAACUAUGACAAAGGAGCAACUUCGUCAAAGAAAGGUCUGCCAAUCACAUUUUGAGGAUAAAUAAAUCUAAAACAAUCUAUUGGUUAUGACAAUGAUGAAUGGAUGUCCUAUUUUUAUUUAUCCAUGAAGAAAAUAAUAACAUCUCGGCGACCAUCCAAGCUGUUGCUGAUCAGGUCAUCCAGUAAGUUAAACUGCUAAUAGAGAUAACUUCAAUUCAAUGUUGUUGCCAGAUAAUGCUGUGAGUGAAGGUAUGUUCAACUCAGUUGUAAAUAAUACCUAAGUACUUUUAAAUUG